CGACGGUGGAGGGACUCCGCUUGCUCUCGUCGUAAUUCGAGAGGUCGCAAGUUUCUGACUUGCAGGUCGAGGCCGAAGGGAAUGCUUUCAAUCUGGAUUCAGACCAAGAGAAGUCUAGGAAGGAUUGAGUUUGUGGAUUCGUACUGCUACUCUGCGGUGGCGGUGGCGGCGGUAGCGGUGAGUGUUGGAGAUUCAAAAAGGAGCUAAAGGAUCGACGGUGGCGGUG
rnacentral:lncRNA from 1 species